GUGCUGUAUAGCAAGGUUCUCCAUGUGUCCCACUCUGUGUUGUGCAGACUUGGCUUCCAAUGCCUCUGUUCUUCUGGUCCUGAGUGUUUCAAGAGUGAAGUCUGUUAACCAUGCCAGAUUGUCAUUCAUUACACAUUAAGACAAAUGUCCACCAAAAAUUAGGAUAAAACUACACAACCCAGCCUUCUCAAACUGACAGAAUGUUUGAACACUUGCUUUCAAGGAGGAAAGCAGCUGCAUGGAUGUGUUAUUCCACUGAAACUUGUUUUGUUAAAUUACUGUAUUAAGGCAAGUAAAUAAAAGUCACUUCCAGAUUUCAUUUUCAGAGGCAAAAUAUAAUGCCAUAGUAUUUUCUCAGUCUAUCAGGCGGCAAACGGUCCUGGUAUAUCAGGCAUAAGAGAGGCCAGUUUGUCACUAAAGAAAUAAAAUAAAUAACUUUCUGAAGUGCUUGAGCUAGUUUAAAAUUUUUGAAGCUAUCUAUUGAUAUAUUUCAGAUCACAUGUACUAGACAGAAGCUUAAUUCCCCUGUCCUCCAAAGCUUGUUUGAUCAAUAAACUGAACCAAAUUACUCUUAACAAAUCACAAAUAACUAGCAAUAAGUGAUUUUUAUAAACUUUAGUCUGCAUUUAAUCAAACAGCUUCUUACUCUGCUUUUAAUUUGUGGUGCUUUCAAAACCCAAUUCCUUUAGGACUCAAAAGUCAGAGUGUAAGAAAUUGACUUUUGCUAAUUUACUUUUUUUGUCAAUUUAUUUUUGUACACUUCAUUAAGUAGUCUUCUUCCAGUAACCUAUAUCCUUCUGGCCCUACUACAGUAUUGAUCUUAUGCUCUUCUUUAUUCCAGAAAAAUCUUACUUAGAUAAAAUUUAUACUUUCUCACACUACCAGCUGUGUAGCCCAAAUAAAACAAUUAACAUAUACAUUAGUAGGCAUACUUAGUUUUAAGAACAUGAGCAACUUUCACUUACUCUGAUCAGUUGAGUUAUAAAUUCAUACAGUUUACUUGAUGGUACCAUAUAAAUACAACUAAAAUACUAAUAUACAAGUACAAUAAUAAUAAAUAACACAAUUAUCAUUGCAUAACUAUGAAAUAAAUCCAGACUCAAUGUGAAAUGACUUCUAGACUUCUAAAUCCCACUGCAGUCAAUCCAGCUGAGACUGCUUAUUUUUCAGCUUUUUAAGUAGCUGUCACAGCCCAAAAGAGAAAGGAAGCUACCUAACCUAAGGGUACUUAACAAUCAUAAAAUAUCAUGGAUGUAGGAUUCUGUGAUAUUAAAAACACAAAGGCUUUGUUCACUAAAUAUUUCUGUUUAUUAGAAAUCAACACAAUUCACCACUAGUGAAAUACUGUAACAUGAUAGAAAGUACAGCAAUAACAGCAGAGUGGCACAACCCAGGCUACAGCAAACAAGAAGAAGCCCAAAUACAGCAGCCACAGAAAUGAAGAAAAACCACUUACCUUCAGAAGGCCUCAGAUAGGGAAAGAUCUCCAGCAAAACACUCUCACCUCCACUUCCAACCUUUAAAUGAGGUCUGGGAAGGGGUGGAGCCAGGAUGCACUCCUUCUGGUUACUCAGGUUCAUUGCAUGCACCUGAGUUCCUCUGGGUUGGUCCUGCUUUCCCACCAGGUACUCAGUCACUGUUUCAGACCAUGACUUAGCAUUUCUGUUACAACUAGCAAGAAUAUUACAACAGUAAAAAUGCAAACUUGUCAAGACUAGACUUAUGACAGAUUAUAUACAUACAUAUUCAUAGAAUUACUGUUACCAAUUGCAUCAAACAGAUCCCAGAAGGGGGAAAGAAUGUAGUGUGUCUGUCAAUAAAACAAUCUCCAAGAGAAAAUCAAAUACCAAAAAGACAAAAAAUAAUUACCAAAAAGAAAACCAACCACCACAAGAGUAAAAAAUAAAGCAACUGCCACAAAGAAAAAUGACUGCCAAAUGUUCAAAAUAAAACAGUUAUCAAAAGAAAACAGUCUGUCCACAGAAAAAGGCUCAAAAGGAGUAUAAAGUGGAGUCUCACUUCAACACUGAUCAGUAUCACCAGGCAUGGAGUGUUAGAGUUUUGGAGUCAAUGCUGUCAAGGCACAUGGUCAAACCAAAGUUUCAGUGAAACUUCAGCCUGUUUAAGGAAAAAAAAAAGAAACCAGGACAAAGAAACAGAACAUAGAGCACUGGAAGUUUCUCAGAAGGAAGCUCCAUCUUGUGUAAAAAUCGUUAUUUUAGUAGGACACCACUGCUUAGGUAAAAAAUUGGUCCUGUUAGUUUAGGUCCUCUUCCUGAUACAGUCUAUAGAUAAUAUUUCUUAUUUCAUCUAAAGUUUAUUCCUCACACUGAUCUCCCCUUCCUUAGGUGAUAAAACAUUCCUCCCUUCCUCUAUUUGGUCUUAACAAUGGAGUAGUAUGUUCAGGGUACCAUCCAUAAGAGAUGUUCAGUCGUACCUCAAGGUUUCUAGCUCUCAGGUUCAGCUUUCUAGUUGGCAGACUUUUCCUUAACACAUUUUAGCAGCUAUUUUAUGUCAAGACUUUCUUAUUGCAAUCACUCUUAUUACCUCUACAACUGCUCCAAUCAACAGAAAAAACAGUGAGCCACACUGAUUCACUUCAAAAAUUUCUGAACGUCUAGUCUUGUUACAUUAUGAGUUGUGCAUGAAUUUACUUGAAGAUGCCACUCAAUAAAUAAAUAAUUAAAAUAAAAUAUUUAACUUCCAAGAGGUAUUUUUUCCUCAUUCAACUCAUUAGGAUACUUACAUAGCUUCUGCAGCCAGCAUUUAAUUCUUUGGCAAGACUGUUGUAUUUACUUGUUAUUUCACUGAUGAUUAUGAAAAUUUUUCUGAAAUAUUUUCUCAAGGUAGAGACUUAUUUAAACAACUGGGGUUUCAAAACUCUAUGUAUGAAAUAACCAUUUAAAUAUUUAACAGAGAUGUGUUAUCAAAAAUCAUGCAACCAUAGCCGCCUUCAUGAUACAAAGUGUUUAAAUUUCAGAAGUACAUUUAGAAGACAAAUGUAGACUAGUUAAGAAUUAAAACAAACCACAAUAGUCUCCAAGGCAGAUACUAAUUCCUAAUCCAAACUUUGAAAAGGCCUGUGAUAUCCUAACAAAUCUGAUCGUAAUAAGAUGCUCAAACUUCUGAAGAACUGUAGGCCUUAAAUUCCAAAAUUUGUAGUAAGCAGAACUAAAAAAUAAAGAACUUUCCAAGUCUACAGCUGCAAUGACAGAACAUAGCCAGAAAGGUAUCAUUCAGAUCCUAAAGAUGCUUAGAGUCUUUCUGGAAACUAGAAAUAAAAGGAAUUCAGAGACCUUUUCUUCUUUUUUUGUGCUAAUGAUACAGUGAGCAGAAAGGUACAGUAAUAUAAGAAUGGCCGUAUGUUAAAUACAAAAAGGUAUCAACUCUAGAUAAACUAAGCAAAGUAGCAUUCUAGAUAUCGGUACUGUAUAAGUUGUAUUCUGUGUAUGUGAAAAAAAGUCAUAACAAAAUUACAGAAAAUACAUUGUUUAAAACCAAGUGCCAUUCCACCAAGAUAAUCCUGAUCUACUAUAACUUCAGACAGACUUUUUUUCAGGAUGCAGGAGAACAUCCUAUUUAAGUAUCUCAAAUCUGCACAGCUUUAAAGUUUUGGAUUUUUUAAAUAAUAAAAGAGGGUUUAAAGUCAAAUAUUUAGUGGAAACAGUGCUGGGAGACGCCUUUUGCAUGAAGGAGUAAGCAGAAAAUGCCUCACAAAGCCCUCUACCCAUGGCAUCUUUAAUUGCUUUCUGAAUGGGCCUGCCUUAAGCUUAAAGUUGUUGAAUCAGAGGUUCUAGGAUUCUUACAAGCUUUUAUUAUAAAAGAAGAAAAGAAAAAAAAGAAAUCUUAUUGGAACAUGUAGCUUAAGCUCGUUGAUUCAUCUUGCCUUUAUAGGCGCUUUACUCACAAAGGUAAUUAUUCCAUUGCGCUCUUCAAAGUUUUGUAGCAAUUUUAAUACUGAUAGCUAAAAGCAUACUUUAGGACAAUGAACUACACCCUAGGAACAGCAUGAAACUCUUACAAACUAUACAAAAAUAUUUCAGAUAUUCUGAAAUUGCAAAACAAAGUGAAAUCCAACACAUAGCCUUUUUCAUUUAAUCAGAUGUACCUCUUUUCAAAAUGCCACUAAAAUUGUGGAACCUUUCCCACUUUGUACAAAAGAAUCACAUUAUUUAUUCUGGGAGAAAAAUUAAGAAUAUUCAGGUCAUUCAGUAGCAAUUUAGGGCUUCGACAAUCUCGGAAAUCAUUCUCAUGAGUCCUAAUGGGAAAGAUUUGACAGCUGAAAUAUAGUCUUCAAUCUGAUUGUAACUAUCUGCUGCAUCACAUACAUCUAUUGGAAAAGCAAAAGGCCCAGUUUCCUGCUUUUGCUUCAAUUCAGUUAGCAUCAGGAAGCAAAGAUAAGGAUGAAAUGUUGCUGAAUAGAAGACUGUCUCCUGUAAGCAUAUAUUCCAAAAACUACAUUACCAAGAAGUUAGUUAACAGAAUCCUGAUUCGAUAGAAUUCAGGGCCAGAAUUCAUUAGGAUAAGGGUUUCAACUAUUGUGUUUCCUGAAAUGUAAAGAAACAUUUUAAUGACUUUUAGUUAUGUCGCUCUUGUACUAAUGCUAUGCAAGCUGAAGACAGUAAAAUAAAAUUAACUAAACAGGCAUUGGAAUAAAAAAAGAAACACCCAACUGCAUUACAUUUAGAGGGGAUCUGGUACUGCUAAUAUAGGAAAAACAAGGGAAUUUCUUAGGACAAAAUCUUCACAGGUAUUGUUAGGACAAUAUACAAUAUGGUUCCUCAAGUAAGUCUGAGUAAGGCUGAAGAAUUCAUAUUGUCUUUUAUGUGAAAUAAAGACUGCGAAUGAAAAUGUAUAUGCAUUGUUAGAUGCAUGUAUGUGUAUACACGUGCAUAUUACACACUAUAGUGUUACUCAACAAAAAUAGUGCAAAAUAAUUUCUGACUUGGUAAUGUAGAACUAGUAUCAGUGUUUAUUGAUCUGUGCUUAUCCUCAGAUAUGAAGUAUACAUAUACAUAAUGCAUUUAUAGUUCCUCCUAGUGCAUUGUCAGUAAGAAGAAGAUUUUAAAAAGAAAUUUAAAAAGUAUUCUACGGUUUGUAUGUCUACAGACUGAAUGAAAUGAAGUCAGAAAACACACCUGUAUGGAAAAAUUUGUAUUGAAAAAACAGCUUACAAUUUUGUAGCAGGUAUUAACAGAAUUUAUGUGUUAAAUUCAUCUGAUGUGGGAUAUAAUUUGAUACUUAGCUAGUCACUGUAAGCUGUUUUUAUAGGUAAUAGAGUAUUAUGAUUAUAGGUAUGACUCAGUUCAUCGUGUUCUACUGUAAGUAUCCAAAAUAAGUUAAAUUAAUCACUUUAUUUACCUUUCCAUUGUAUGUAUUUCUGCAAAAGAAAUUUAGAUUGCACAGACAAUCAUGCUCAUUUUCAGAAUAUCAAUAGUAAUAACAUGUCCUCUGGCCACAUGCAUUUUGUUAAAAAUAAAACAACAAACAAGAACAACAACAAAAAAAGACUGAUUGGGAAAGUACUAACAAUGUAUAGAAAUUAUUUUUGGCACUUGUCAAAAAAUGCCUUUCAGAAGCAGAAUAUUCUAAAGAAUAAGAAAUUUUCAGCAGAGGAGAGAUUUUACUUAAAGUCCCUUGCUAAAUACGUUCAUCAGCUUCUUGUUUGUAACUCUAGGGCCUCUACUGCAAGAGCAUUUCUAAUUCAUUCUCACUUGCGGAGCCCUGUUUUUUCAACUUCCUCAGAAUGCAAUGUUAUCUAAUGUUAUUUCAUGCUGAGAUGAAACACUGACUGUAUCAGUAAGGCUAAUUGCUGAGAAAGAAGAAUAAACAUAUUGUGUACAUCUAAUAGUGCAAUGUCUUCAAUAGGGAUAUGCUGAGCUGGUGAAUUUGCAUCAUCUAUCUCCAAUGAAUUAUCUCAUGCAGUAUUGGUUCCAGCAAAUUGUGGUAUGUGAAAAGAAGCAAAGGCUGUGCAAAAAGUUUAAUCUAUACACUGAAUCUGGAAAAUUUAUUCUUACUUACAAAAAAUAAACAAAUAAACCCAAAAUUUUGUUAAGUUGGUCUUUGUUAGGAUUCACCCUACAUUUUUGCUUGAGUUUGAAACACAGUCUUGACUACAAAUACAAGGGAAUCAGUGCUCUGAUCUGACCAGAAGUUUUUAUCUGCUAUCCUGUUUUGGGCUAAGAUAAUACUAAGUUAUACCAAAAAUGCAUAUGAAGGUUUUAACUGUCAAGGAUUAUUCCACAGUCAUUUUCCAGAGCCUUCAACCUAGACUUUAACUUUGUGACCAUGACAAUGAUAUGGGAAUCUUUCAUAUUCAAGCAUUACAGCUUUCUAGAAGUGAGAGCAUUUGAACUGUUGAAAGGAUCCCCAAGAUCAUAUGUGGUAAUUAGACAGCAGAAUCUCUGAUUAUUCAUGUAGCUUAUAUAUAGGAGGUUGUACUGAAAGAAUCUGUUGAAAAAGAUGAGAUAAAGUAAGGUUCCAAACUGAUGCGUAAAUUUCUGAUAAUUUACACAAGUGACAUGAAAAUACCGUGAACAGGACAUCAGGAAAAGUUUCAACGUUCUGUCAUACUCCUGCACAUUAUUUUCAUUCAUUUUUUGGACAGGUUGAUUUUCUUUCAUACAUAUUUGGAAACAUACAAUUUGAAUUUAAAGCACUCUAUUCAAUCUCUUUCAAAAAGGUGUUGGCUAGGAUAUGAGCACUUGCUUGCUCUUCCUGUCUAUAUGGGUGCUAAUAGAGGUCAUUACUGAAAAAAUCUGAACUCCUUUCAAAGAAAAGAGCUCUGUAUAGUAGUGAAUGAAGUCUGAUUAUUAGGUCUCAAUGGCAGUUUUUACUGCAAAUUAUUAUUUUUAUAAAAUAA
ensembl:lncRNA